AGAAGGUUUUGCCACAAUCUUCAUCCAAUCAUAUACCUAAUGUCUUGGACUAUAAUUUUAAUUUUCAGUGCUCAAGAAUCUUCAGAUUUAAGGCUUGGUGGAUUAAGGAACCUGAUUUGGAGUCCAUCAUGCAUAAUUCAUGGAAGAGCAUCAGGGGUGAGCCCAACCUGACGGUAGCUUGGGUGAUCAACCUAAGGACGUUG
rnacentral:lncRNA from 1 species